AUGCACGCUGGCGGCGUGCCUAAUACAUGCAAGUCGAGCGAGCAGACGAGGAGCUUGCUCCUCUGACGUUAGCGGCGGACGGGUGAGUAACACGUGGAUAACCUACCUAUAAGACUGGGAUAACUUCGGGAAACCGGAGCUAAUACCGGAUAAUAUAUUGAACCGCAUGGUUCAAUAGUGAAAGACGGUUUUGCUGUCACUUAUAGGUGGAUCCGCGCCGCAUUAGCUAGUUGGUAAGGUAACGGCUUACCAAGGCAACGAUGCGUAGCCGACCUGAGAGGGUGAUCGGCCACACUGGAACUGAGACACGGUCCAGACUCCUACGGGAGGCAGCAGUAGGGAAUCUUCCGCAAUGGGCGAAAGCCUGACGGAGCAACGCCGCGUGAGUGAUGAAGGUCUUCGGAUCGUAAAACUCUGUUAUUAGGGAAGAACAAAUGUGUAAGUAACUAUGCACGUCUUGACGGUACCUAAUCAGAAAGCCACGGCUAACUACGUG
rnacentral:rRNA from 1 species